AAGGACAACUAUAGAAUGAAUAUAGCAUAAUGAAACAGCAAAAAUAACAUAAAAUGUUGGAGUUGAGACUGAAUGUAUCAAUCAGAUACAAGUAUAAAUGAGCCAAAAUUCACCUAAAUAAAAGAAAAAUAUUUUCAGGUGGUUCUCCAGCAGAACACACCUCUACCGUAUACAAGAGAUAUACCUAAAACCAAAGGAUUCAGAAUGGCUGAAGUUAUCAGUAGACUGAAAAACAUAUACAAGGAUGUUUUUAGUCACCAGAAUGCCCAUCAGAGGCGGAGUAGAUAACAAGAGAUUGUGGGUUAGUCGCACAGAGGAAUGCUACGUCUGUACCCUAAGAAUAUAUGAAGUGUGAGUACAUACAACAACAUGGAUGUACUUCAUGAUCAUGAUUACGAGCAAAAGAAACAUGAAACAAGAGUACGGGGUAUAUGAUUUCACUGAAGAAGUUUUCUACUUUAUUUAUGUGUGUUUCAUCUUUAUUGAGGUAACCAUUGACAUAUAUAAAGUUGUAUGAUAUUUGAAGUGUACACCAUGGUGAUUUGAUAUUUGAUAUUUGUGUAGAUGCACAUUUAAGUCCUAUUUUCUUAGUGAAUCAUAAUUAUAUAAUACAGUGUUAUAUGUGAUUAUAAUGACCAUAGAUUCCUUCUGCCCGUUUUUAAAAUUUCACAUUGAUUCCAUUUAUAUGAAGUUCAUAAACAGGCAGGCAGAAGGCAUCUGUGGCAAUAGUCAUCAGGAUUGGGGGAGGAUGAUGGGAAAGGGGCCACAAAAGGGCUUCUAGAACCACCAGAGGACUCUUUCUUGAUCUAGGUGCCGGUUGCAUGAUCUUGUUAACUGUGCUGAAAAAAUUUUAAGCUGGAUACCGAAGAGUUCUGUCUUUUCUUAUAUGUAUGUUACAUUUUAAUAGCAGGUUUACAUUUAAAAACAUGAACUGUUUACAAGCAAAAAACAAAGCAAUGGGUAAAGUCCCAUGGACUAUUGUAUUUAGAGUCAUUGGAGAGAGUGAUUUUUAAUUGCAACUUAUAUGAAUACUGUCUUUAGGCUCUUGAAGGCCAUAUCCUUUUUCUUACCAUACCUCAGGGUUGCUCCCUGAAUUUGUUCUUGCCACCUUCACAUUAAAAAUAGAGCCCAGAAAAAUAGCAUAGAGAAUUCAGAAGUCGAUCUAAAUCCAUACAGGAAUUUAGUGUCGAGUAAGAGCGUAUUAUUUCAAAUUGUUGGGAUAGGAGAGAAGAAUGGAUUUUUUAAUAACUAGUUUUGAGACAACUGGGUAGCCGUUUAGAAAAAUUUAAAUUGGAUCCUUAUCUUCAUCUUUAAAUGAAAGUAAAUUUUAGAUGGGUUGAAAUAUACAUGUAGUAAAACCGUAAAAAUAGAAAAAACAUGGGAGAAUUUUUUGUUUGUUUGUUUGGGAGAACGUUUUUUUGUAAGACCAGUUUUCUAACUCCUGAGCUAUGGAGCUGUCCCUUGUGAGAAUGUUUUCUAAAACCAUGGUGUAUAAUCUAAACAGGACAGAAAAUUUAGAAACUAUAUGAGUAAAGAUCGAUACAUUUUAAAAGUUCUUAAUGAUUAAAUAUAUAGUAAAAAUAUGAAGUGGGAAAUCUAUUUGUAGCAUAUGGCAGAGCGCUCAUUUCUUUUAUGGAUAAAGUGCUCACACAGUCAACAAAAGUUAAGGA